UACGGGGGGAGCAAGCGUUGUUCGGAUUUACUGGGCGUAAAGGGCGCGUAGGCGGUAGCACAAGUCAGUUGUGAAAUCUCCGGGCUUAACUCGGAAAGGUCAACUGAUACUGUGCGACUAGAGUGCAGAAGGGGCAACUGGAAUUCUCGGUGUAGCGGUGAAAUGCGUAGAUAUCGAGAGGAACACCUGCGGCGAAGGCGGGUUGCUGGGCUGACACUGACGCUGAGGCGCGAAAGCCAGGGGAGCGAACGGG
rnacentral:rRNA from 1 species